GGACUACCAGGGUAUCUAAUCCUGUUUGCUCCCCACGCUUUCGAGCCUCAGCGUCAGUAAUGGACCAGUAUGUCGCCUUCGCCACUGGUGUUCUUCCGAAUAUCUACGAAUUUCACCUCUACACUCGGAGUUCCACAUACCUCUUCCAUACUCAAGAUAGCCAGUAUCAAAGGCAAUUCCAAGGUUGAGCCCUGGGCUUUCACCUCUGACUAAACUAUCCGCCUACGCUCCCUUUACGCCCAGUAAUUCCGAGCAACGCUAGCCCCCUUCGUAUUACCGCGGCUGCUGGCAC
rnacentral:rRNA from 1 species